AAAGCUCAAUAUUGGUUUGAGACCGAUAGCAAACAAGUACCUUGAGGGAAUUGUGAAAAGGACUUUGAAAAGAAAGUUAAAAGAACAUGAAAUUGCUGAAAUGGAAGCAAAUGAAACUGAUGUUGCUCAGUGAAAUUGCUGCUUGGAUGGUGUACAUCAAUGGGUGCAAUCCUUGCAUUUGUUGUAGCAUGAUUCUGCAGUGUGUUUUGCUGAGUAUGUCAUGAUUAUUUUUUCUGUCAAUGAAUUUUGAGCAGCAGAGAAUUUUCAAUCCUGAAAAUGAUGCUGCUUGAAUGCAGCAGUGAAAGUAAUUACUUGAAACUUGGUUGCUAUGAGCUUAGUACUGCACCAAUGUUUUUUGUGAUGUGGAUGUAUCAUUUGACCCGUCUUGAAACACGGACCAAGGAGUCUAAUGCAUGUGCAAGUUUGCAGGUUUAUGCUGCUUGGCAAAAAGAAAAUAAUUGUUGGAAUUUGUGCACUGACAGCCAACCAAUCAAUUAUGAUAGGUUUGAGUUUGAGCAUGUGUUUUAGGACCCGAAAGAUGGUGAACUAUGCCUGAGAAGAAUCAAUUCAGGGGAAACUCUGAUGGAAGCUUGCUGUGGUACUGACGUGCAAAUCGUUCGUCAUACUUGGGUAUAGGGGCGAAAGACUAAUCGAACCAUCUAGUAGCUGGUUCCCUCUGAAGUUUCCCUCAGGAUAGCUGGAAUUGUUGAUUUUCAUCAUGUAAAGCGAAUGAUUAAAGGCAUUGGGGGCGUGUUGUCCUUGACCUAUUCUCAAACUUUAAACGGGUAAGAUCCAAUGGUUGUUUGCCAAACCAUUGGGAUAAAUCACAAUUCUAUGUGGGCCAUUUUUGGUAAGCAGAAUUGGCGAUGAGGGAUGAACCUAAUGUUAGGAUAAGGUGCUGCACUGCUCGUUCAUCAGAUACCAUAAAAGGUGUUGGUUCAUUCAAACAGCAGGACGGUGGUCAUGGAAGUCGAAAUCCGCUAAGGAAUGUGUAACAACUCACCUGCCGAAUGGACUAGCCCUGAAAAUGGAUGGCGCUCAAACGGGUGACUGAUACUUAGCUGUUGUGGUAAAUACUAUGCAACAGCAAGUAAGGGGGUGCAACAGCUUGU
rnacentral:rRNA from 1 species